AUUGAACGCUGGCGGCAGGCCUAACACAUGCAAGUCGAACGAGUGGCGGACGGGUGAGCAAUGUCUGGGAAACUGCCUGAUGGAGGGGGAUAACUACGGGAAACGGUAGCUAAUACCGCAUCCUAUCGGAUGUGCCAAGAUGGGAUUAGCUUGUGGGUGGGGUAGCGGCUCACCAAGGCGACGAUCCCUAGCGGGUCUGAGAGGAUGACCAGCCACACUGGAACUGAGAACCGGUCCAGACUCUUCCGGGAGGCAGCAGUGGGGAAUAUUGCGCAAUGGGCGCAAGCCUGAUGCAGCCCUGCCGCGUGUAUGAAGAAGUCCUUCGGGUUGUAAAGUACUUUCAGCGGGGAGGCGUUACCCACAGAAGAAGCACCGGCUAACUCCGUGCCAGCCGCCGCGGUAAUAC
rnacentral:rRNA from 1 species